AGUAUCGUGAUAAUAUCGUAUCGUGGGGCUUCUGGGGAUUUACACCUCUAUUGCAGUUAGGUGUUUGGUGCUUCAUCCAUAAUAAUAAUUUACUACCUUUGCAAGUGGAAAGGGGAAGUUCUCUAUCAAAAAUUUCACCUCCAAACACUUUCCCUCAUCAGUGGAAGGGUCAUGAGUCAGACUGUCAAUAGUUCCCCUCAUGACUUUAUGGUCGCAUCUUAUGUCCAGUGCAUGUGUGGAUUGGCGCCUGUGGACAAUAUGUCUUUAGAAUCAUGGUCAGGCUAUAUAGAGCGUGUCGAUGUGCGAAUGAGACAAUCUAUCAUCCUUUUCAAUCCUAUUACAGCAACGUGUCAGUCUUUCUCUCCGCUUCCCAUCGCUGCCUCCUGAAAUAAACUGCAACUCAGUGAGUGGACUGACAGAGAUGAUGAUCCUUCCCCACACGCUGUUGAAGUUGCAGUGGAGUGCUGACACAUACAGAGAAACAGUAUGCAAGUUAACAAAUAUUGGAUUAUAGAGAAAGGAAGACCAGCUGAGUUUUGUCCGUGAGAUAAAGAGCACGCCGAGAUGUCAAUGG